ACAGUAUAAUCUUCUAUGUGCCGUUGGACAUAAUCAAGUUCACAGUGCGGUAUGGCUUGAGUGGAGAAGCCUGGAAACUGAUAUUUGAAAGAAAGGUUAGUGUUUAUUAAGAGUUAUUUAAUUAAAUAAGGAGAAUGAUAUACAUACAAGUAGUUGUGUGGUGAAUUUGAACAGACAGCGUUUACAUAUAAGAAAGACUACGGAAAAGAAGAAAGGGCAGCAAAGGAGGAGAAUGGAAGGGGGUCUUCUUUGAUAGCUGAAAAGGCCAGAAGACGUGCUGAAAUAGCCAGGCUGG
rnacentral:lncRNA from 1 species